rnacentral:rRNA from 1 species
GACGUAGGAGGCGAGCGUUAUCCGGAUUCACUGGGCGUAAAGCGCAUGUAGGCGGUUAAACAAGUCCGAUGUUAAAGCCCCUGGCUCAACUGGGGGAGGUCAUUGGAGACUGUUUUGACUUGAGGGCAGCAGAGGCACGUGGAACUCCCGGUGUAGCGGUGGAAUGCGUAGAGAUCGGGAAGAACACCCGUGGCGAAGGCGACGUGCUGGGCUGCGACUGACGCUGAGAUGCGAAAGUGUGGGGAGCAAACGGG